rnacentral:rRNA from 1 species
UAGGGAAUCUUCGGCAAUGGACGAAAGUCUGACCGAGCACCGCCGCGUGAGUGAAGAAGGUUUUCGGAUCGUCAAACUCUGUUGUUAGAGCAGAACAAGGACGUUAGUAACUGAACGUCCCCUGACGGUAUCUAACCAGAAAGCCACGGCUAACUACGUGCCAGCAGCCGCGGUAAUACGUAGGUGGCAAGCGUUGUCCGGAUUUAUUGGGCGUAAAGCGAGCGCAGGCGGUUUCUUAAGUCUGAUGUGAAAGCCCCCGGCUCAACCGGGGAGGGUCAUUGGAAACUGGGAGACUUGAGUGCAGAAGAGGAGAGUGGAAUUCCAUGUGUAGCGGUGAAAUGCGUAGAUAUAUGGAGGAACACCAGUGGCGAAGGCGGCUCUCUGGUCUGUAACUGACGCUGAGGCUCGAAAGCGUGGGGAGCAAACAGG